CGGCUUCUGUAGCCUGUGUAGCAAACACUGGAACGAUACAGAGAAGAUUAGUGUGGUCCCUGGGCAAGGCUGACACAAAUCUGUGAUGCGUUCCAUAUUUUU
rnacentral:snRNA from 1 species